UGGGGAAUAUUGCACAAUGGGCGCAAGCCUGAUGCAGCAACGCCGCGUGAACGAUGAAGGUCUUCGGAUCGUAAAGUUCUGUUGCAGGGGAAGAUAAUGACGGUACCCUGUGAGGAAGCCCCGGCUAACUACGUGCCAGCAGCCGCGGUAAUACGUAGGGGGCUAGCGUUAUCCGGAUUUACUGGGCGUAAAGGGUACGUAGGCGGUCUAUUAAGUCAGGUGUGAAAGCGUGAGGCUUAACCUCAUUAAGCACUUGAAACUGAUAGACUUGAGUGAAGGAGAGGAAAGUGGAAUUCCUAGUGUAGCGGUGAAAUGCGUAGAUAUUAGGAGGAAUACCGGUGGCGAAGGCGACUUUCUGGACUUUUACUGACGCUCAGGUACGAAAGCGUGGGGAGCAAACAGG
rnacentral:rRNA from 1 species